UGUUUUUAUUUUUAUUCAUGCAUAGUAUUCCUUGUAUAGUAUCUGCCAUGUCUAAAUGCCAUUUUUCAUUUAGAGAAGGUGGUUUUCUUUAUUAUUUUACAUAUAUUUCCCUAGCACGCUUUAACAAAGAGCCGGACUGUUGACCAAGCCGGACUGUUGUUCAGUCAGUUGUACUGAGUUUUAAAAGAACUUGAAGACAAACUGGCUGCAUAUGUUAAAACCUGUGGUAGGACAAAUCACGGUACAUUUUCUUAUUUUCAAGAGGUUCUUACCAACAAAGUAGAAGGAAGAGAAGCAAGCAGAAACUGCUACACUAGCAUAUUAAAGGCUCAGCAACAAGCACUAAUGCUCAAACUGUGCUCUUUGAGCUUUUGGUGGGUUCUGGCGUGACUAUUUUAGGUGCUGUGAGCUGUACUCUUAAAAGGCAUGGCCUACAAGCUUGCUACCUGUGUUUGGUUAUGUUAUUUGAAACCCGCACCACAGCCUGUGUCUUGCCUUGCAACCAGUUCCCAGCAGUGGGUGGCUCUCAAAUUGCGCAAAGUUGUCUGCAGCCUGUUCUCCCAAAGAGUCUGGGGCUUGUCUGUGAGGUUAUCUAAGACUAUCCUGCAAAGUAUUUAAACAAAUGAAUGCUGCGUUGGAUCAUACCAGAUUACACAGGCACUUAAACUUUUUCCUGUGCAAUUGUUCAGUAUUUAAAAAGUCUCCGUAAGAGAAGGAUGUUGCAAAGUAGUAAUUUGUUUGCAGGCAGCUAUUUAAAUAUUUUACAUCGCAGUCCUUUAAAGUAACGUUUAUUUUUUUGGCUAUCUGGUCAGACAUGCUUGAGACAGAAAAGUGAAGUGACUUUCUCAAGGCCACUGCAAGAUCUUUGGUCUGUACGGGAAUUGUAACUGUGAAAGAUACUUAUCAUGGUGUCUCUCUUAGGUUAGCUGUUCUAAAUUGAGUAUGCUGCAAAUCUGAUUGCUGUUGACAUACCUGUGUUAUUGCUUAUACAGGACCAGCAAGUCAAGCUAGCAAUGAUAUAUCAAUUUGAUAAGUUCCUGAAACUCCUUGAGGUUAAAACAAAGCAUCAUAGCUUCCUAGUGCAAAAAGAAAAAGUGGGAUGCUGAUAUUUCUAAAACCAUAUUUCUGUGUAAUUUUCACUAGUAUUAAUUACAAAACAGGCCUUUUUAUUUUGGUUCUCAGGAUCUUUUUCCUUGGCAUUCCUUUCCUGACCUGAAAGAAGGGUUCAAGACCUACGGUAGCUGGAGAAUGUCUCUGCUGCUGUCUCCUCUGCAUGUAUGUGAACACAGCAGACCCUGUAGGGGAGAGUGGUGCUGGACCAACACCUUUUCUGUGGCAAUGAGAUGUACCUGCAUGGAGAAAACAGUCUGGGGCUGUUCUGUACUGGUGGGAGCUCAUACAGCAUUUGCUGCGUUGGAGCCCUCAAUAUGUGCUGUAUCUCUUCACCAGCCUCUAAAUCAGGGGCUCUGCUUUGGAUAUAUAGAGCCCUUUCCAUGCCCUAUGUUGUCUGGAUAUGGCUAUGAGCCAUGGUAUGGCUUGUAGUGUUCAGUUUCUGCCCCAGGAGAUGGUCGUUCCCCAAAGCAACCGGAAAGUUACCCGGAGAGAGGCAGUUUCUUGCUGCCUCCCAUUUGGAAACAAUUGCUGUAGAUAGGCAAGUGAUUGUGUGGCCAUUCAAACUGUCAAGAGGGGAAACUAUAAUAUUCCAAAAUAGUUCAGAAAAGAGAAAUGAAUGUUGACUUCUGUCUUUGGAUCACUGAGGUUUUAAUUGAGUUUUUGGUUGAAAAGCAUAUUAAUCGAUUUCUCUUUCUGGUUUAGUGCAGAAGCUGUGAAGUUUGUGUCAUAGGAUACUCAAGACGUUUGGAUUUGGAACAACAUUUUUUUACUUUAAAAAAAAAAACAAAAAACACAGCAACCUGAAACUAUUUAUUUUGUAAACAUAAGGGAAUAAAUAACCCAAUAGCUUCUUUAAAAAUAUUUCAAAAAUGAAUUGUGAGUAUUGGAAUUUUUCCCAGCGUAUAAAAGCUUCCAUUUCAUUAAGUCUCUCUAGGCUUUUGUCCAUUUUUUUCCGUAAACCUCACUUGAUUUUUCUCUGACAGCAGAUGGCCUAACUGCUCCUGAAAAUCCCAUGGGAGUGAGAAACAUAUUUGGAAAAUUCUGUUUCGCUUGAUAUUUGGAUUUUUCUGAUGCCCUAGUAUUAGGACAGCUUUUUAGCCCCAUCAUCAAAUCAAAGAGAAAAAUUCUUUCAAACCCCCCAAGACACACUGAUAGAUAUUUUAAUGCUUGUGCAGACACUGUUCUGGACGUGACCUCCUUUCUGGCAGUGUUGCCUGUGAGUCCUACAGUUACUGACUGGCAAACUGGUCCCAAUUUGGCAUUCUUUAUCUGUAGGAAAAGAGUGAUAUGACAUGGAAAGGGACUUAACAAGGCUUUGAGUAAUCAUAGUGGGUGACAAAUUAGCUACCUUUCUGUGUUUAAAAACAAACAAAUAAACAAAAAAGUAUGUUGUCAGUCAUCAGUGCUGGUCAGAGUUGUUUUCUCCUGCGUUGAUUUGUUUUCCAGCCAGCUUUGUGUUUGCAUGUUUUUAAAAUGUUCAUUAAAAGGGAGUGCAGUGUGUACCCUGGCUAUUCCCAAGGAGGAAGGGAUGGGAAAGAAGCUGGACCUUUAGAAAUUCUUGUAUACUUAAGUGGAGACGAAAUACUUAGUAAUUACUGAUAAUAGAAUUGUUUGCUUUUCUCAUCAGUGGUUGCUGCCUUGGUAUUGCUAUAUAUAUGCUUAAGUAUAUAGACACUUUCAUUUUUAUAUGUAUAAAGUGUGUGUGUAUAUAUAUAUAUAAGUAUGUAUACUUACAGGUAGGCGUAUAUUAAAUGAUCAUUUUGGACAUCCCAGAUGAGGGAGGAAAAUAAGAAGAGGGAGUCUUAACACAGCCAACUGAGCCUUGCUCAGGAUAAUGGCUGUGAAGAAAUAUGGGGAAAAUACCAAGUAACAACCUUAUGUUUCACUCUGUCAUUCUCUAUAUCCAACCCCUGCUCUUAAUCCCAGCUUGAUGCAUCUAAUUUGCUUGGCACCUUUCCUUUGCCUGGGAGGCCAAACAAGAGCUACCUGCACAGAUGACACCAGGGCUGUUUCUUGGCCAACUGGCAGAGGACCACUGUGAUGGAGCAGCUGACUGCAUCCUCUGGUCUCCCACCCCCUCUCCCUGGACUAAAUAUGUCGUUUCUUUAACACCUGCUGCCUCUGCCAAAUGUAAUGACCAUGUUUGUGUUGGCAGCUUUAGUUGUUUGAAAAAAAAA